CUCCAGCCUUCCUAGAGCUACCCAGCAGGCCAGAGGGAGGGUGGGGAAGCCAGCCACCAUUGCUGAUGGGCGGAAGAACUGCUGACGGCUGAGAGCCCAGGCAAGUCUGGGAAAGGAAGGUGAGCUGACAGAAGAGGAAUCAAUUCUGGACCGGAGGGUGUGUCCCUGCCUUUGCCCUCCCCGCCUCCCCCCACAUCCUUCUCUGGCAAGGGGAAUGAGGAUGAGAAUGACCUCCAUCCGCAGGACGAGUGAAGUCACAAAAUUACGGUAGCCUAAAGGGCACACGAAAGGCCAGUGAUCAUUGCCUCCAAUUAACAUUUGUUAAUACCAGAGGAAGAAAUGCCGCAGAGGAAGCUUCCAACGGCAGG
rnacentral:lncRNA from 1 species